rnacentral:rRNA from 1 species
UACGGGGGGGGCAAGCGUUGUUCGGAAUUACUGGGCGUAAAGGGCUCGUAGGUGGCCAACUAAGUCAGACGUGAAAUCCCUCGGCUUAACCGGGGAACUGCGUCUGAUACUGGAUGGCUUGAGUUUGGGAGAGGGACGCGGAAUUCCAGGUGUAGCGGUGAAAUGCGCAGAUAUCAGGAGGAACACCGGUGGCGAAGGCGGUUCUCUGGGCAUUACCUGACGCUGAGGAGCGAAAGUGUGGGGAGCGAACAGG